UACAGAGGGUGCAAGCGUUGUUCGGAAUUAUUGGGCGUAAAGCGCGUGUAGGCGGCUUUGCAAGUCGGGUGUGAAAGCCCUCAGCUUAACUGAGGAAGUGCGCCCGAAACUGCUUGGCUUGAGUACCGGAGAGGAUGGCGGAAUUCCCCAAGUAGAGGUGAAAUUCGUAGAUAUGGGGAGGAACACCGGUGGCGAAGGCGGCCAUCUGGACGGAUACUGACGCUGAGACGCGAAAGCGUGGGUAGCAAACAGG
rnacentral:rRNA from 1 species